rnacentral:rRNA from 1 species
UACGUAGGGGGCGAGCGUUGUCCGGAUUUAUUGGGCGUAAAGAGCGUGUAGGCGGCCAGGUAGGUCUGCUGUGAAAACUCGAGGCUCAACCUCGAGACGUCGGCGGAAACCAUCUGGCUAGAGUCCGGAAGAGGAGAGUGGAAUUCCUGGUGUAGCGGUGAAAUUCGUAGAUAUUCGGAAGAACACCAGUGGCGAAGGCGGCUCACUGGCCCGGUACUGACGCUGAGGUGCGAAAGCGUGGGGAGCAAACAGG